ACGAGUGGCGGACGGGUGAGUAAUGCUUGGGAACUUGCCUUUGCGAGGGGGAUAACAGUUGGAAACGACUGCUAAUACCGCAUAAUGUCUUCGGACCAAACGGGGCUUCGGCUCCGGCGCAAAGAGAGGCCCAAGUGAGAUUAGCUAGUUGGUAAGGUAACGGCUUACCAAGGCGACGAUCUCUAGCUGUUCUGAGAGGAAGAUCAGCCACACUGGGACUGAGACACGGCCCAGACUCCUACGGGAGGCAGCAGUGGGGAAUAUUGCACAAUGGGGGAAACCCUGAUGCAGCCAUGCCGCGUGUGUGAAGAAGGCCUUCGGGUUGUAAAGCACUUUCAGUUGUGAGGAAAAGUUAGUAGUUAAUACCUGCUAGCCGUGACGUUAACAACAGAAGAAGCACCGGCUAACUCCGUGCCAGCAGCCGCGGUAAUACGGAGGGUG
rnacentral:rRNA from 1 species